GCCCGCUUAGCUCAGAGGUUACAGCAUCACAUUUGUUAUGCGACGGUCAUCGGUUCAAUUUCGAUAGUCGGCU
rnacentral:tRNA from 1 species